ensembl:lncRNA uncharacterized LOC114593382
CAUCUGUAACCCGAGGUACCACUGUAGUGCAAAUGCAAAGAUUGCAACAUUGGUCAAAAGGCCUACAGAUUGGGGACAACAUCAAAGAGAACUGUGUUGCUAAGGAUGAAGUAAUCUCAAAUUCACCCUUAUCUCACACCCUUAUCUAGAGUGCUACUUCAAAAACAAUGGAACCCGUCCCAUUAGGGCAGCAUUCUUGGCUUCCCACCUGCAUAUAUAGGCAUGAACUCUGUGAAGGCAUCACAUUUGCUAGUUCAUCCUUGGGACUCCUUUCAACGGCACACAAGUCUGAGAAGAACCAUGAAGUUCGUCUGUCUCUUCUUUGCCGUGGUCUUCCUUGGCAUUUCCCAGUCUGAUGAAGCCGAUGUGCAAAAGAAAUGGAGAAAGCCCUUGGAAGACUUGCGUGGCCUUCAGGGCCAAGACCCAGCUUUGCCAGCUGACGAUGAUGAAGCUUUGAAGGAUGAAGAAAAUGUUCCCCGCCCAAAAAAUCCCAUCGUAUGCAUUACUAUGGGGGGAGAUGCCGUCACAGGUGCGGUCAAAAUGAGAAGUUGGUUGGACGAUGCUUUUCAACUAGGUCCUGCUGUGUGCAUUUUCAGUAGAAAACGUACUUGAGAGAGAUGCAAGAAAGACCAACAGCAUUUGAUCGGAACAGAGAAAGAAACCAAUCAAGAUGAAUUGAUGCUGAAUCAUUUCUUUUCAAUUAAAAUUGAGUUUGCAUCCA